rnacentral:misc_RNA from 1 species
CGAACCUCACCACCCGUGUCUACCGUACCGUGUUGCUUCGGCGGGCCCGCCGCCUAGCCGGCCGCCGGGGGACCUCGUGUCCCCGGGCCCGCGCCCGCCGAAGACCCCCCGAACGCUGCCCGGAAGGUUGCUGUCUGAGCGGUUACAAACAAACCAACAAAACUUUCAACAACGGAUCUCUUGGUUCCGGCAUCGAUGAAGAACGCAGCGAAAUGCGAUAAGUAAUGUGAAUUGCAGAAUUCAGUGAAUCAUCGAAUCUUUGAACGCACAUUGCGCCCCCUGGUAUUCCGGGGGGCAUGCCUGUCCGAGCGUCAUUACUGCCCUCAAGCGCGGCUUGUGUGUUGGGCCUUCGCCCCCCCCGGGGGCGUGCCCGAAAGGCAGUGGCGGCGCCGUGCCCGGUCCUCGAGCGUAUGGGGCUUUGUCACCCGCUCUGGAGGCCCGGCCGGCCGCCGCCGACCCGCCCAGACCUUUAACC